AUUGAACGCUGGCGGCAGGCCUAACACAUGCAAGUCGAGCGGAGCGGAGGACGGGUGAGUAAUGCCUAGGAAUCUGCAUGGUAGUGGGGGAUAACGUCCGGAAACGGGCGCUAAUCCCGCAUACUAUCAGAUGAGCCUAGGUCGGAUGAGCUAGUUGGUGGGGUACAGGCAUACCAAGGCGACGAUCCGUAACUGGUCUGAGAGGAUGAUCAGUCACACUGGAACGGAGACACGGUCCAGACUCCUACGGGAGGCAGCAGUGGGGAAUAUGGGACAAUGGGCGAAAGCCUGAUCCAGCCAUGCCGCGUGUGUGAAGAAGGCCUUCGGGUUGUAAAGUACUUUCAGCGGGGAGGCGUUACCCGCAGAAGAAGCACCGGCUAACUCCGUGCCAGCAGCCGCGGUAAUAC
rnacentral:rRNA from 1 species